rnacentral:rRNA from 1 species
GUCCACGCCGUAAACGAUGUCUACUAGAUGUUCGUGGUCUUGUACCGUGAGUAUCGCAGCUAACGCAUUAAGUAGACCGCCUGGGGAGUACGGUCGCAAGAUUAAAACUCAAAUGAAUUGACGGGGGCCCGCACAAGCGGUGGAGCAUGUGGUUUAAUUCGACGCAACGCGAAGAACCUUACCUACUCUUGACAUCUACAGAACUUGGUAGAGAUACCUUGGUGCCUUCGGGAACUGUAAGACAGGUGCUGCAUGGCUGUCGU